AUUUAAACUGCUUAAAAUCGUAUAUUUCGCGCCUUUCACGGUCACUCGUAAAAAGUCGCGCAUGGCGGAUCGCGGAGUGAAUUUCAAUCGUUCGGUAUUUCUCGCGGUUUUUAUCGAGUAAAAGUGAAUCUCGUGCGCUAACAGUUAUCGGACGUGUUGUGUAUAGUGUUCGUGGUACCGUAGACGUUGUAUGCAAUUGCCAUCAAUCACUAAUAUCAAUAUUUGAGACUGGACAAUCUGCUUGUGUGUGUGUGUGUCGAAUGGAUGAAAAUCAUCUUCACAUAUUUCAACCCAUUUUUUCGUUGAUGUGUAGCGGAAUGUAAUAGAUGCAUGAUCAUCAUUAGGUUAAUUUAUGGACAACUCUGCUGCUGCGAGAAAAGGAUCAUGCUGAGUUACAUGACCACUGAGAUGCAUCUCAACGUUUGUUUCCAGCCACGUGGAGGACUUGUCCCGCUAUUCUAAUGGUACCACGCUUAAUAUAAUAACGAUAAAGAAAGGAUUUUCAGCAGCUUUCAAUUAGUAAUUUGGAGUCCCCUUUCGCAUGACGGUCAGUUUAUUGGAUAUAACGAUGGCGAUCGGAUGUCCCGAAUCAAUGGAAAUGAUCUCGAAUUUGACCUACAUAACGCGUACAAAGGGAGCGAUUUGUAUAUAAUCAGGCUAUCGCAGAUUUACGCGUUCCGGUUGCUACGGGAUCCGCUGACUGAUUGAUGCGAUGCGCGGAUGAUGCAACGGAGUGCAACGCCGUCAUGCCGUGGCUGCGUUUGUUCGAGGCCCAGAGCGGAGUCACGACGGGAUGAACUUUGCCAAUCAGGUCCGGUCUUGGAAACGACUCUUUAGUAGCAGACAUUCUCGACAGAGACACGUUGGUGGCCGGUUCGUCUGCGACCAUGAAACCGCUUCCGGGUUUUCGGGCGUUGUUCCGACUGAAUUUGGAAAGAGGACUGUACGAUGAGGAUGGAACGCAACUUUACAACAUGGACAGACACGUACAGGCAUGACAGGGUGCUGCCCUCUGCAAGCUAAAAUUAGAGGGUGCUGUCCGAAGUUCUCCGCUACACGUUUGCAUUUCCUAUGCACUAUUUCCCACGUGUAGAUUCGUCUACGACGAGAUCAUCCUGGAAGAUUGCAUCUUGCGAUCGCCGGCGACUUUCGCGGAGGACUGUACGCGCGUACCCUCUCCAGAGGCAUUAGACGCAGUGUAUCGGCGGCCGUGCUCGUGCGCGAGUAUUAGACACCAUGCCCGCAGCUCAUUUGCCAACUCCGGCAAAUUUACCAAAUUUAAAUGCAAAAUCGGCCGGUGCUCCGCCGGUUCGAUGGAGGCGCGAGCGAGACGGCGACUGAGCGGCGCGCGGGAGAGACGAGGAGGGAGGAAGGCGAACAGAGGAUACGAGAGACAGAAAGAUAGAUACAGGAACGCGAGGCGAGCGUGCGAGCGAGAAAGGAUGGUCGGUACGAGGAGGAGGGUGGUGGCGGCGGCGGCGGCGGCAGCGGCGGCGGCGGCACGAAGAGGUAGAGACGAGCGAACGAGACGAAGAGAGAAAAGCGAAAAGCUCGAGCGAGAGCGAAAUAUAGAUAGAUAGAGGUACGAUAGUGGUGCCGGAGCGAGAGGAUGGGAGAGGGAUGGAGAGACAGAGACCGCGGUAGGAAACUCAAAUGGUCGCAAUGGUGCGGUAUAGUAGUCGCCUGGUUGUCAGGCGCAGCAUGCGAUUGGUUCGCCGACCGUGUGUUACCUCUCUCUCCUCUUUGCGUGUCUAUUCGCUAUCGUCUCUCCUUCUUUCACAUGUCGUAUUUACUGCUCCGACUUUCUCGCGUUUCUCUCACCCCGCAUCGCGCCCCGCACUCCCCCCCCCCCCGCGUUUCGUUGCUGUCGCGCGAGGCCUGUCCGCGAUCCUCGAGGCGGGCUUGACGUCUUCGACAGUCGGGCAAGGAAAAGUUUCGCGACAAGCUCCCGCCGGGAAUGGAAAAGGUCGGCUCGCGUCGAGUAAUGCAUCCACUCGUGAAAGAGUCGCUUCCUCUUUUUUAAUGCGCAAGUUUAGAUAGUUAAGCGCCAAGGCUCUUUUUGUCACGCCACGGCAAUUUGCGCUGUGUGCGUGUCGCAGCGGCAACGAAGCCGCCACAGAAGCACACAUUUGUCGCGGCGCGGUCUCUCUUUAUCGAAAUAUGAAAUAAAUGCGAUAGAUAUUAUUAAUGUAGAAUAAAUAAACGCUUCUCGUCUUUCACAUUUUUCCUCUCUCUAAUAAAUUACAUAAGAUUAAUUAAAGCUGUUUUGCGCACUAUAACGACUGUUUAACGGUGAAAUUAAUAAUUAUCAUUCUCCGAAAAAAAGUUAAAAAAUUGCUAUUAAAAGAAUAUUUCUAUCUUUUCCGCGAUUUCGUAAUGAAUGUUAAUUUUAUUAUUUACGAAAUACAUCUGUACCACAUUUAUUCCACACUGUAACAAUUACCUGGAUUUAUAUCCUAUACAUUUCGGUCCAAGUAUUUCUUUUUAGUCGUUGUCGGAGCGGAAACGGCAAAAAACUGCGUAUAUAUCUGGCCGGUUCGCUGGAGCUGCGUGUAGAUAUAAAAACAUGCAUGGGAUGGUCGACGCUCGAUCGGCGGAUUGAGCGCGGCGCGGCGCGGCGCGGCACGCGGCGGCGCGUUUAUUCCGCGUAGAAGAAGAUACGUUACCGGACGCAUCCGAUUUCGAAGCGGAUCUAAAUCCUCGGCGGAGAAAACGGCCCGCACUAAAAUCGUCAAUCAAUGUCUCACGCUCUUGCCGCGCCCCCGCCGCGUCACGCCGCGUCCAUCCGCGGCCUCCACCGUCCGCCGCUUUCCCCCGCUCCCCGGCACCGUCGAUCGCUCGUCGUCGCGCAAGCACACACAGCCAAAGGGUUGCCAAUUAUUAUUCGCGGUACACUUCGCACCGUUUUGUUGUUCAUCGGCAGCGCCAUUUAUUAUUCAUCGUUCAUCAUAUUGCGGUGCCCGUUACAACGCGCAGUUACAACACGACGACGGGCAGAAUACGCCGGGGCUGGCGUUGUUUCGCAUAGCGUUACAGCGUUACGCCGACGUUACGAAUGGCACAGAGGGCGAGAGCGCGCGCGUGUGUGCCUCCGCUUACCCGUGCUCUCGCGCGCUCGCCCGCGCUGCGCGCGUGUCGGUACACCGCGUGUACGCUCGUCAAAAUACAAAGUGAACACGAGUCCGCCAUGGGGACGUUUAUUGUGCACUCGUACGUUGUUUUAUCGGCGUUACAUUACGCGAUAGUUUUCAGCACUCGUCCCCUCCCUCCCCACCCGCGCUUCUUUUAAUAAUGCGCAUUACGAUAAUAUCCCUUUGUGGCCGGAGCUUGGACGGGUGGC